rnacentral:misc_RNA from 1 species
CCACUAACCACCACCACCACCAUCACUGCCUCCACGACGUUUGCGUACCGCGUGCUCAACCGUCUCUGUGUCCCCUCUACUCUGCCGAGAACGAGGACGACGGAUGGGUGGGUGGGUGGGUGCUGGAGAGAUGGCAAAGAGGGGGAGAGCACAGCUUACACAAGCAGAACGGAGAGCAAAGACAAGUGUAUCACUAUCCAGCACACCACACACACACACACGUAAAAAAAAACGAAAAGUGAAACCCGCACACGCAACACGCAUGGCAUCGCCGCCAGUGCGAAGAGUGGCGGCGGUACAUCUGUGGCGCUUAUUUAUCUGUGCUGGUGCGACGUGAUAAGGCAGGGGGGCCUCUAAGUAACUGCCCGCCCCCCCCUCCCCCAAAGAGAAAUAAGCGCGCGUCCCUUGAAGAAGGACCCGUGAGAGAACAAAACGGAUAGCGAAAAGGAGAAGAUGUACAAAAAAGAAAAACGAAAGGUGAUGCCCCUCAGUGCUCCUCAUGAACUCUACGAUCACCUUUCCUUGCGAUCAUCGCGUACCAGCAUAUCACCUUCGCUGUUCGUGCUUGCGUGUGUGCGUCACAGCUUGGAGCACUUUGGAGGCGCAAAAAAAAAUAAACCGAAAACGAAAUAGAGGCGGAAUGAGGGAGAGAGUUAAGAUUCGUGCCACUCAUCCCGCACCUUUCUCUCCUGCUCCUUCAUAUGUGUGUGGAUCAGCAUUUAGGAAUGAUCAAGGUACUAACGGUGGUGGUGGUCGUCGUCGUCGUGUCAGCGAUGGAAACAGUGCCGCAACGUGCGGCAACGGAUAAGCCAUGGAGGCGCGCGACGCCUCGUCUCUGUCGCGUGUGCCUCUCUUCCCCCCUCCCCCUUUACCUCGCCGGCUCCUCUUCUUCGUUUUGUUUUUGGUGUGCAUCAAGGCGAAACACCGUGCGUGUGCACGCACGAGCACGCAAAGAUAGAGGCCGACAGGCAGAGACAGACAGAGCGAGCGACGAGCACAAGUAUUUGCAUGUACACGCAGAAAGGAAGGCAGGUGUAAGUGUCUGUGUUUGCGUGAAAGAGUAAGCACAGCUGCACCGGCGGAAUCCCUCUCCCUCUCCCUCUCGCACGCCAUCACCGCACACGUGCCUGUGCGUGUGCGCGAACCUUGAGUUUGUGUGUGCAUCGUUUUUUUUUUUCGGAGGGGGGGUUAUGUUCCUCUUUACCACCUGGCCAUCUUUUUUCUUUUCGUGUCCGUGUGUUUGUAUAUGUGAGUGUGGUCCCGUGGUCUUCCCUUUCCCUUCCACACACAACACCCCCGGCCUGUCCCCAUACCAUCACGAAACAGCGACAACCCCUCAUCUCGCUCCAUGCACCCACCUCCUUCCGCUGUCCUUUCUUGCCACAUUAAGCCUCGCGUGACUUCUCAUCUGUAUUCAAGCGCGGCAAAGGAGCAGGCGGGAAGCAGGGAUAUGCGCUCAUGAACGGGUGCCCGAGCUUCG